rnacentral:rRNA from 1 species
GACGAACGCUGGCGGCGUGCUUAACACAUGCAAGUCGAACGGGCCUUGUCCCCUUUUUUUUUGGGGGUGGGGUUAGUGGCGAACGGGUGAGUAACACGUGAGUAACCUGCCCCUCACUUCUGGAUAACCGCUUGAAAGGGUGGCUAAUACGGGGUGUUCUGGCCUGCUCGCAUGGGUGGGUUUGGAAAGAUUCGACCGGUUUUGGUUGUUUUGGUGGGGGAUGGGCUCGCGGCCUAUCAGCUUGUUGGUGGGGUGAUGGCCUGCCAAGGCUUUGACGGGUAGCCGGCCUGAGAGGGUGGGCGGUCACACUGGGACUGAGACACGGCCCAGACUCCUACGGGAGGCAGCAGUGGGGAAUAUUGCACAAUGGGCGCAAGCCUGAUGCAGCGACGCCGCGUGAGGGAUGGAGGCCUUCGGGUUGUGAACCUCUUUCCCCAGUGAAGAAGGUCCUGCUCUUUGUGGUGGGGUUGACGGUAGCUGGGUUAAUGAAGCGCCGGCUAACUACGUG